CGAUUUUGGCCAAAUUUUGGAUUUCGUUAAAAUCACACUUAAUCGACCCCAAAUUUCAUGGAGAUCACAAAUAUAUGGUUUAAUUUUAUGGCAGCUCAAUGGUUAAGGUGCUGUGGCUUACUUCUGGUAUACUUCCGGAAAAUUUGCAUAAAACUAGCAAGUGAGCUUUGUUUUCUGUACAGUUCUAAGGAUUGAAUGCUAGGUUUUAGCAAACAAAUAUAGACUUUUCAAGUUUUGUGAGUAUCUUAAGACCAGUCCUUCAAAUAUUGAGUUUUGAGACGUGUCAAAUAGAUGGCGUGUUGAUUGUGUCAGUUAUGGAAUGGCGGUUUGCUGUCAAAAGUUUCUUCGAAAAUUACCAAUGAAUUCAUAGGAGGAAAUGUGAAAGGUCGUGGCCGUCGUGCAGCCUACCGUCAACUAUUUUGUUCAAAAUCAUUGUAUUCCACUGAAUGUGCCAUUGAAAUUAUACAGGAGUCAUAAUUAUCUGCUGUUUGUAUUGGACUUGCUAGAUCAUCAACCCCAGGCCCCCAGCAUAGACCAAUCUCUCAUUUCAUCUUCUCGAGAGAAGAUUGGAUAAUUGAUUGGUGGUUUCAUGUGUUCUAAACUCCAGGUUUCUAAAUUUGCAUGGCAGACUUUAUGAGAAGUCAUGUCCUUUCAAGAAAGUCAACAAGGUCCCUUGUUUACUAACCUGUUUGCUGCUACCUUUGAAUCUCCCUUUUUACUUUCUUAAGCAGGCAUCUUUACUUGAGGGUAAUCCUUCGAUAUUUGUCAUGGACUUCAUCCACUGGUGAAAACCGACGAGAGAAUGCUGUAAUCCAAGACUGAUAAAUUGUGUAGUUAAUUAGAUAAAAUUAUCAGUGCAUAUCUGGG